UACAGAGGGGGCAAGCGUUGUUCGGAAUUACUGGGCGUAAAGGGCGCGUAGGCGGCCUGCUAAGUCGAACGUGAAAUCCCUGGGCUCAACCCAGGAACUGCGUCCGAUACUGGUUGGCUUGAAUCCGGGAGAGGGAUGUGGAAUUCCGGGUGUAGCGGUGAAAUGCGUAGAGAUGCGGAGGAACACCGAUGGCGAAGGCAGCCCCCUGGGCUGACACUGACGCUCAGGCACGAAAGCGUGGGGAGCAAACAGG
rnacentral:rRNA from 1 species